ACCAGUGGGGACAACAUGUUGAAUGUAUCAGUUCCCCAUUCUCCAUGGAUCACUGAAGUUAACGUUGUGUGUGGUUGAUAUCCGAAUGGGUGACUAUCUGGGCAAUCACAAGCUACUGGCU
rfam:Asian citrus Psyllid, Diaphorina citri - Florida Strain, whole genome shotgun sequence.